AUGAACGCUGGCGGCGUGCCUAACACAUGCAAGUCGAACGGAGAUUACGGACGGAAGUUUUCGGAUGGAAGCCUGUAAUUCUUAGUGGCGGACGGGUGAGUAACGCGUGGGCAACCUGCCCUAUACAGGGGGAUAGCAGCUGGAAACGGCUGGUAAGACCGCAUAAGUCGGUUAAAUCGCAUGAUUUGAUCGGGAAAUGAGCAAUCAGGUAUAGGAUGGGCCCGCGUCCGAUUAGCCAGUUGGCAGGGUAAAAGCCUACCAAAGCGACGAUCGGUAGCCGGACUGAGAGGUCGGACGGCCACAUUGGGACUGAGACACGGCCCAAACUCCUACGGGAAGCAGCAGUGGGGGAUAUUGCACAAUGGAGGAAACUCUGAUGCAGCGACGCCGCGUGAGUGAAGAAGUAUUUCGGUAUGUAAAGCUCUAUCAGCAGGGAAGAUGAUGACGGUACCUGACUAAGAAGCCCCGGCUAACUACGUG
rnacentral:rRNA from 1 species